CCUACGAGCGGCAGCAGUGAGGAAUAUUGGUCAAUGGACGCAAGUCUGAACCAGCCAUGCCGCGUGCAGGAAGACGGCUCUAUGAGUUGUAAACUGCUUUUGUACGAGGGUAAACUCCUAUACGCGUCUCUUUCUGAAAGUAUCGUACGAAUAAGGAUCGGCUAACUCCGUGCCAGCAGCCGCGGUAAUACGGAGGCUUCAAGCGUUAUCCGGAUUUAUUGGGUUUAAAGGGUGCGUAGGCGGUCGGAUAAGUUAGAGGUGAAAUCCCGAGGCUCAACUUCGGAAUUGCAUCUGAUACUGUUAGGCUAGAGAGUAGUAGCGGUAGGCGGAAUGUAUGGUGUAGCGGUGAAAUGCUUAGAGAUCAUACAGAACACCGAUUGCGAAGGCAGCUGACCAAGCUACGUCUGACGUUGAGGCACGAAAGCGUGGGGAGCAAACAGGAUUAGAUACCCCUGUAGUC
rnacentral:rRNA from 1 species